rnacentral:rRNA from 1 species
GCGCGACUCUACAUGCACGAAAGUGCGAUAGGGGUACCCCAAGUGCUCAUACACUGUAUGGGCUUUUGAUAAGUGUAAAUAGCUUGUCGAAUAAGCGGUGGGUAAGACUGGUGCCAGCCGCCGCGGUAACACCAGCGCCGCAAGUGGGAGCCGUUUUUAUUGGGCCUAAAGCGUCCGUAGCAGGUCUAGCAAAUCUCUCGUGAAAUUGUCCAGCUUAACUGGGCAGCGUGCGGGAGACACUACUAGACUAGGGACCGGGAGGAGUGAGAGGUAUUUCGGGGGGAGCGGUAAAAUGCUAUAAUCCUCGAAGGACCACCGAUGGCGAAGGCAUCUCACCAGAACGGAUCCGACUGUGAGGGACGAAAGCUAGGGGAGCGAACCGGAUUAGAUACCCGGGUAGUCCUGGCCGUAAACGCUGCGAGUUAGGUGUUGCGUAAACUUCGAGUUUGCGCAGUAUCGGAGCGAAGGCGUUAAACUCGCCGCCUGGGAAGUAUGGUCGCAAGGCUGAAACUUAAAGGAAUUGGCGGGGGAGCACAAGCCGAAUUCAAGCAAA